rnacentral:tRNA from 1 species
GCCUAGAUAGCUCAGUCGGUAGAGCAGAGGACUGAAAAUCCUCGUGUCGCUGGUUCGAUUCCGGCUCUGGGCA